rnacentral:rRNA from 1 species
CCUACGGGAGGCAGCAGUGGGGAAUAUUGCACAAUGGGGGAAACCCUGAUGCAGCGACGCCGCGUGUGUGAAGAAGUAUUUCGGUAUGUAAAGCUCUUUCAGCCGGGAAGAAAAUGACGGUACCUGAUUCAGUAGCCACGGCUAACUACGUGCCAGCAGCCGCGGUAAUACGUAGGGGGCAAGCGUUAUCCGGAUUUACUGGGAGUAAAGGGAGCGUAGACGGCAGCACAAGUCUGGUGUGAAAUGCCGGGGCUUAACCCCGGAACUGCUUUGGAAACUGGUCAGCUAGAGUGCCGGAGAGGUGAGUAGAAUUCCUAGUGUAGCGGUGAAAUGCGUAGAUAUGAGGAGGAACACCGGUGGCGAAGGCGGCUUACUGGACUGUAACUGACGUUGAGGCUCGAAAGCGUGGGGAGCAAACAGGAUUAGAUACCCUUGUAGUC